UGAAAUAUUCAUCGGUGUUGGGUAUAAUCGCGGCACGUCGUCGUCCACGUACUCGUUAGCACGAAGCCAACGAGCUCUUCAAGCUUUGGAGGGAGAGAGCAGCAGCAACAGCAGGAGCGUGACAGCAGCAGUGACUUCCCUGGGAGCAGCUGUGCGGCGGCGGCGGCGUUCCAGCUCCAGCUGUAGAAGCACGAGCAGCAGGGGGCAAAGCUUCGGCUCAGUCCCGUUCCUUCUCUAAGCGCACAGC
rnacentral:lncRNA from 1 species